UUGGCAAAAAGGUGUGCAUUAAAGUAAUGCAUGAAUAUAAAUUGAUUUUUUGGCUAUAAAAAGGCUCGUACAUACUCUUAUUUCCUAACACCAUUCAUCUUCAAAAUGGCUAAGGCAUCAAGAUUAGUUCCACUCUUUUCCACCACCAUGCUAAUCAUGAUCAUCCUAUUCUUGGGUUUGGAGAAAGCUAUUGGUGAGGAUGUUAAAAUGGAUACUCCUAAAUAUUUUACAAGAAGUUCUUUGGUGUCGCCUAAUUGUCCGGUUACUAUGAAAUUGAAAUCAUGUACCGACAACUUUAUUGGAGUUUGUGUUCCUGGUGUUGAUGAUGCUUGUUGCGCCAGUAUUUACAAAAACUCUGCCAAUGAAAGAGGAGGCUUUUGCAAAACUCUUCCUUAUAAACAACCACCACCACAUAAUUUUUGUCAUUGCUAUUGUUAGAUUUAAAUUUGGUAUCAAUGAAUAAAUAAUGCUACAAGUACUGCAAUUAUCUAUCAAAAA